rnacentral:rRNA from 1 species
UGUAGUCAUAUGCUUGUCUCAAAGAUUAAGCCAUGCAUGUCUAAGUAUAAGCAAUUAUACCGUGAAACUGCGAAUGGCUCAUUAAAUCAGUUAUCGUUUAUUUGAUAAUACCUUACUACUUGGAUAACCGUGGUAAUUCUAGAGCUAAUACAUGCUGAAAAUCCCGACUUCGGAAGGGAUGUGUUUAUUAGAUAAAAAACCAAUGCCCUUCGGGGCUUUUUGGUGAUUCAUGAUAACUUUACGGAUCGCAUAGCCUUGCGCUGGCGACGGUUCAUUCAAAUUUCUGCCCUAUCAACUUUCGAUGGUAAGGUAUUGGCUUACCAUGGUUUCAACGGGUAACGGGGAAUUAGGGUUCGAUUCCGGAGAGGGAGCCUGAGAAACGGCUACCACAUCCAAGGAAGGCAGCAGGCGCGCAAAUUACCCAAUCCCGACACGGGGAGGUAGUGACAAUAAAUACUGAUACAGGGCUCUUUUGGGUCUUGUAAUUGGAAUGAGUACAAUUUAAACCUCUUAACGAGGAACAAUUGGAGGGCAAGUCUGGUGCCAGCAGCCGCGGUAAUUCCAGCUCCAAUUAGCGUAUAUUAAAGUUGUUGCAGUUAAAAAGCUCGUAGUUGAAACUUGGGCCUGGCUGGCGGGUCCGCCUCACCGCGUGCACUCGUCCGGCCGGGCCUUCCUUCUGAAGAACCUCAUGCCCUUCACUGGGCGUGUUGGGGAAUCAGGACUUUUACUUUGAAAAAAUUAGAGUGUUCAAAGCAGGCCUUUGCUCGAAUACGUUAGCAUGGAAUAAUAAAAUAGGGCGUGCGUUUCUAUUUUGUUGGUUUCUAGAGACGCCGCAAUGAUUAACAGGAACAGUCGGGGGCAUCAGUAUUCAGUUGUCAGAGGUGAAAUUCUUGGAUUUACUGAAGACUAACUACUGCGAAAGCAUUUGCCAAGGAUGUUUUCAUUAAUCAGUGAACGAAAGUUAGGGGAUCGAAGACGAUCAGAUACCGUCGUAGUCUUAACCGUAAACUAUGCCGACUAGGGAUCGGGCGAUGUUCUUUUUCUGACUCGCUCGGCACCUUACGAGAAAUCAAAGUUUUUGGGUUCUGGGGGGAUUAUGGUCGCAAGGCUGAAACUUAAAGAAAUUGACGGAAGGUCACCACCAGGCGUGGAGCCUGCGGCUUAAUUUGACUCAACACGGGGAAACUCACCAGGUCCAGAUGAAAUAAGGAUUGACAGAUUGAGAGCUCUUUCUUGAUUUUUCAGGUGGUGGUGCAUGGCCGUUCUUAGUUCGUGGGGUGACUUGUCUGCUUAAUUGCGAUAACGAGCGAGACCUUACUCUGCUAAAUAGCCAGGCUAGCUUUGGCUGGUCGCCGGCUUCUUAGAGAGACUAUCAACUCAAGUUGAUGGAAGUUUGAGGCAAUAACAGGUCUGUGAUGCCCUUAGAUGUUCUGGGCCGCACGCGCGCUACACUGACAGAGCCAACGAGUUCUUCACCUUGGCCGAAAGGUCUGGGUAAUCUUGUUAAACUCUGUCGUGCUGGGGAUAAAGCAUUGCAAUUAUUGCUUUUCAACGAGGAAUGCCUAGUAAGCGCGUGUCAUCAGCAUGCGUUGAUUACGUCCCUGACCUUUGUACACACCGCCCGUCGCUACUACCGAUUGAAUGGCUCAGUGAGGCGUUCGGACUGGCUCGGGGAGGUUGGCAACGACCACCCCAAGCCGGAAAGUUCGUCAAACUCGGUCAUUUAGAGGAAGUAAAAGUCGUAACAAGGUCUCCGUAGGUGAACCUGCGGAA